CUUGUGUGUAAAUUAAGCUCACCCCUCGUUUACACCAAGAAACAAGUCUAACUAAAAUAAAACUUGUUUGUUGCCAACAAUCUGCACACAACACAUCUGCUUGCACAUAAUAUUGAGUCUGAGACAUGUUUGAUCCAGUCUGAUACAUUGACAGCGUUAGUGACAUACACGUUGUUAACAAGUAUUGUCAAUUUUAGUGAAGGUUAUGUUUAAUACUUGUUUAAAACAAGUUUUAUAUUGUAUCCAUGCUUGUUGGAUAAAGUUUUAAACAUUUAACGGACAGACUGCAUUUUAUUAUUAAAGUGGAAAAGAAGAAGACAAAUGGAGUGGUCAAAGAAACAAACCUUAGAUCUCAUUGAGCUCUUACAUGUACAUGAAUGCCUGUGGAAUGUGAAAACUGAAGCUUAUAAAGAUCGUCAGAAAAAAAAAGACGCAUUGGCAGCAAUUGCUCUGCAAAUGGACCUUAAUGCUAACGAUAUUGACAAAAAGAUUACAAACCUUAAGAAUCAGUUUAAUAGGGAAGUAAAUAAAAUAAGAACUAAAUCAGGACGCGGUACCGAUGAUGCAUACGUCAGCCUCUGGUAUGCCUUUAAGCCGCUAGGUUUUUUAAGACAUAAUAAUUUACCUGAGGUACAAAAUGACAAUGUAGCGUCAAACUUAUUGAGUGUAUCACUGAUCGAAGAUUAUCAUAUACCUAGUGUAUCGGGAGCAUCGGAUGUGUCACUUUUAACCGAAUUCAAAAAAAGAGGAGGUUCUCAAUUCGUCGAAAAAAAGGGUGUGAAAAGAAGGAAGCCUUCAGACGAUAGGCAAAAAGAAGUGCUGUCUGCGAUGAAGGGGUCACGUGACGACCUCAUCAAAUGCCCAGCCAAAGAUGAGUUUGAUGUGUUCGGUGAAUAUGUUGCUUUCGAGAUAAGAGGUGUUAAUAGGAAAAGAAAUAUUUUAGACCUAAAGAAAAAAAUACAAGACUUAAUUUAUUUAACUAAAUUGAGUGAAAUGAACUAUAAGCCUGAUUCUUUACGGUCGCCAGCGAGCCAGGAGCUACCAAGUGUACCAAGAGAUUUGACUGAAGACAACCCAGACAUGGAAGUUGGUGUCAAUAUAGAAAUAAGAGAUUAAUUUUUGUUAUCUUUGAAACGAACUUGAAAAAAGGAGUGUGGAACCGCAAAUUUUAUUAUUUUUUGAUGCAAUUACAUUCAAACGAUUUAUCAACGAUACGUCACUCGAACGGUUGGCUCAGUGGAAGAGCACUCGCACGGAACGCGAGAGCUCGCUGGUUCGAGUCCCGCAUCGUUCAUAAAUUUAAUUUGUGUAAUUAAUCCCACAAGUGAGUGUUUUCCCUUUAAAAAAUAACAAAUUGUGCACUCCAGUAGGCAAUUGAGAUUAAUGAAUAUUCAUUAUACCUACUUCAAGACUGACGUGUAUUAAUUCUGCAAAUUUAGCUACAAGCCCAUAACAAGUAUAAAAAUAUGAGAUCAUAAACAUGUAGACAACAAACAGUUCACAAACAAUUUCACCCAACAAGUUUCAUACAAAUAUUGUCUGCAACAAGUUUUAUAUUUUGGAAACAUUACAUAAACGUUGUGUUUGAAAUUUGCAUGAAACUUGUAUAAUACAUGUAUCACACCUUGGUGUCAACGUGGGGUGAGAAAUAUACCUACUCUACACUCUGUAUUUGCCCUCUCUGAAAUCAAACAUAGAGUAUGUUUGAUUUCUCUUACUUCUUUCAGAUAAAGUUACCAA